GUUUAGAAAUGUCCCAUCAGACCUGAAGCCUGUGGGUCCAGAAGACACAUUUGAUCGGAUCCAACCUUUGGAAGAUCUGCUUGGAAAUUUCCCACUUCAUGUCCUGAGUCCAGGAACCCAGCAGUGGAAUUUUGUAGAAAAUGCACUGAAGGAUGCUGCCCAAAGAGAGCAUCGCCUGAGAUCCCAUUAUGCAGGCCUUCCUACAAGGGCCCAGCAGCGCAACAAGGUGAAAGCAGAGUAUGCUCGGCUUAACCACACGCUCACCCUAGUGACCAGAGAACGUGAUUUGGCCGUGAAGGAGAAAAACGAGCUCCAAGCCAAGCUGGAGAACCUAGAACAGGUCCUAAAGGUAGGACGGGCUUCCCCUUCUGCUUUCCUUAGGGUCAGCGCGAGGAAGGAGGGACUGUGGGAUUCCAAAUCAGGAAGUGGUUGAAACUCCUUUUGAG
rnacentral:lncRNA from 1 species